rnacentral:lncRNA from 1 species
UGGAAGACUGUUUGUACAUUUGCACUUACUCAAGAACCAAAUCCAUAUUUUAGAAUUCGAACCGUUCACGCAGCAGCCUCAAGCAAAGCUGGAUUUCUCCACCCUCCCCUUUUACCACUUGGAGAUGUGCCAUGGGGGCUGGAUGGAGCCAGGUUAGCUUGAGCCGGUCGGAAGUGAGUGGCUUUUUCAUACUACUUUUUUCCUUCCCUUUCCCUUGAAAGAGCAUGGCCCAGGAGAAAUUUUUGUUUGGAUCAUCAAGCUGGGAUCGGAAGCGGGCAUUAUUGCAAUCCUAGGGUUUUGAUUGGUAUAUAAGGGAAUAUGGUAAAUGUUUCGACUUCCGAUUGCAUGCGUUUUAGUUCUCUUUACAUAUUUUUUUAUAGUUUUCUCCAUUUUUUAAUUUCCUUUUUCAUGUUCUUUCUUGAGGUUGAGCCGUUGGCUUCGUCUGUGCUGCAUCUAGGCCACCCGUCUGAUUUGUUUCUAUUAGAUGGUGCAGAAACAGCUGAUCGUGGCUGUUGAAGGCAUGGCCGCUAUGGGACCCUACUGGUUUACCAUUCUCUCUAAUUACCUUGACAAGAUGAAUUGGUGUUUCAUUUACCCACGCUGUGAUUUCAAAAUGUAUUUGUGUGAUAUGUUGAAAUGUUUAUUUUUUAAUGGGAGCGAAUUGUUAUGGGAUAUGGGCUUGUUUUCGUGUGGAAUGUAUUAGAAUUCUGAAAUGGGUUUUCGCGGUUCAGUAAAAUUGUUUAUUUUUUGGGAAAUAAAUAUACUCAUUUUCUCUUGGAAUUAGUGUGUAUGCAUCAAAGAGUAUAAAUUUAUUUUGUGUUCUUGAUCAAUGAAUAGACUGCCAGUUAUUGGUCAUUUUUCUUAUGUUUUCUCCUUUUGUUUUGGUGCUAUUUUUUUGUGAAUUUUCUUUAUUAGUUUAUAAACAUUGCUGUAGAAGUGUUUGAUAAAUUGUUCACGUGAGUACAUUUUAUUGAGAAUUUCUUCAACUAUUGAUGACGCGGGUGAAAGUCUUGGAAAGUGUGAUCAGUAAAAUCUAUAGUUCCGUGGCGUAACUUUUGCUUGAGAAGUUUUUGAUAAUUUUUUUAUCAUUUCUAGACUGCUGUAUUUUUUGUUGAGUAAUAUUUUUUUUGCUGAG